rnacentral:rRNA from 1 species
UACGUAGGGUGCGAGCGUUAAUCGGAAUUACUGGGCGUAAAGCGUGCGCAGGCGGUUCGUUGUGUCCGAUGUGAAAGCCCCGGGCUUAACCUGGGAAUGGCAUUGGAAACUGGCGAGCUUGAGUGCGGCAGAGGGGGGUGGAAUUCCGCGUGUAGCAGUGAAGUGCGUAGAGAUGCGGAGGAACACCGAUGGCGAAGGCAGCCCCCUGGGUCGACACUGACGCUCAGGCACGAAAGCGUGGGGAGCAAACAGG